rnacentral:rRNA from 1 species
CUUGCUAAGGGGAUUAGUGGCGAACGGGUGAGUAAUAUAUCGGAACGUACCUUGUAAUGGGGGAUAACUAGUCGAAAGAUUAGCUAAUACCGCAUACGCCCUGAGGGGGAAAGUAGGGGAUCUUCGGACCUUACGUUAUAAGAGCGGCCGAUAUCUGAUUAGCUAGUUGGUGGGGUAAUGGCCUACCAAGGCGACGAUCAGUAGCCGGCCUGAGAGGGUGAACGGCCACAUUGGGACUGAGACACGGCCCAA